rnacentral:tRNA from 3 species
GGUCCCGUAGCUCAGUAGGAUAGAGCACCAGAUUCCUAAUCUGGGUGUCGCGCGUUCGAAUCGCGCCGGGAUCACCA